GGCUCAAUGGUCUAGAAGUAUGAUUCGCCCUUCGGGGUUUCCCCGGCCACGUGGUGGCUGUGCAUGGGCGAGGUCCCGGGUUCAAUUCCCGGUUGAGCCC